GUGCUUGCUUUGGCAGCACAUAUAUUAAAGUUGGAAUGAUACAGAGAAGACUAGCAUGGCUUCUGCACAAGGAUGACAUGCAAAUUUGUGAAUGUUCCAUAUUUUU
rnacentral:snRNA from 1 species